GUACACACCGCCCGUCGCUCCUACCGAUUGAAUGAUCCGGUGAAAUCUUCGGACCGUCAACAAAGCUGGGGUUUCUCACUGCGUGCGAUGGGAAGUUGAUUAAACCUUAUCAUUUAGAGGAAGGAGAAGUCGUAACAAGGUUUCCGUAGGUGAACCUGCAGAAGGAUCA
rnacentral:rRNA from 1 species